AGCAGCCGCGGUAAUUCCAGCUCCAAUAGCGUAUAUUAAAGUUGUUGCAGUUAAAAAGCUCGUAGUUGAACUUCGGGAUUUGCUCAUUGGUCAGGCUUCACUGUCUGUACUGGUGUAACGAAUUCCUACCUUCUGAUGAAUCUUCAUGCCACUCACUUGGUGCGGAGGGGAAUCAGGACUGUUACUUUGAAAAAAUUAGAGUGUUUAAAGCAGGCUAUUGCUCGAAUACAUUAGCAUGGAAUAAUAGAAUAGGACGGUUGGUUCUAUUUUGUUGGUUUCUAGGAUCACCGUAAUGAUUAAUAGGGAUAGUUGGGGGCAUUAGUAUUCAAUUGUCAGAGGUGAAAUUCUUGGAUUUAUUGAAGACUAACUACUGCGGAAGCAUUUGCCAAGGAUGUUUUCAUUAAUCAAGAACGAAAGUUAGGGGAUCGAAGACGAUCAGAUACCGUCGUAGUCUUAACCAUAAACUAUGCCGACUAGGGAUCGGACGAAGUUAAUUUUAAAUGACUCGUUCGGCACCUUA
rnacentral:rRNA from 1 species